GAUGAAGAACGCAGCGAAAUGCGAUAAGUAGUGUGAAUUGCAGAAUUCAGUGAAUCAUCGAAUCUUUGAACGCACAUUGCGCCCCUUGGUAUUCCAUGGGGCAUGCCUGUUCGAGCGUCAUUUGUACCUUCAAGCUCUGCUUGGUGUUGGGUGUUUGUCUCGCCUCUGCGUGUAGACUCGCCUCAAAACAAUUGGCAGCCGGCGUAUUGAUUUCGGAGCGCAGUACAUCUCGCGCUUUGCACUCAUAACGACGACGUCCAAAAGUACAUUUUUACACUCUUGACCUCGGAUCAGGUAGGGAUACCCGCUGACCUUAAGCAUAUCAAUAAGCGGAGGA
rnacentral:misc_RNA from 1 species